CAGUUUUCAAAUAAAUAAUUUUGUAGUGGGUAAACGAUUUUCAAAUUAUCUGAAAUUUUACAUACUAUUUCUUGGCACUAUUUUAGAGUAUAAAAAAUAUUUCUCAGAAAAAAAGUAAUAAUAAAAAGUACGAAAAAUAAAAUACAAAAAAAAUAAAAAAAUAUUUUGUGGGUUGAAUUUUGUGCCGAGGACUCGAUCAAAG
rnacentral:lncRNA from 1 species